rnacentral:rRNA from 1 species
UACGUAGGGGGCGAGCGUUGUCCGGAUUUAUUGGGCGUAAAGAGCUCGUAGGCGGUUCGGUAAGUCGGGUGUGAAAACUCUGGGCUCAACCCAGAGACGCCACCCGAUACUGCUGUGACUUGAGUCUGGUAGGGGAGCACGGAAUUCCUGGUGUAGCGGUGAAAUGCAUAGAUAUCAGGAGGAACACCGGUGGCGAAGGCGGUGCUCUGGGCCAGUACUGACGCUGAAGAGCGAAAGCGUGGGGAGCGAACAGG